GAUGAACGCUGGCGGCGUGCCUAAUACAUGCCAGUCGAGCGAACGGACGAGAAGCUUGCUUUUCUGAUGUUAGCGGCGGACGGGUGAGUAACACGUGGAUAACCUACCUAUAAGACUGGGAUAACUUCGGGAAACCGGAGCUAAUACCGGAUAAUAUUUUGAACCGCAUGGUUCAAAAGUGAAAGACGGUCUUGCUGUCACUUAUAGAUGGAUCCGCGCUGCAUUAGCUAGUUGGUAAGGUAACGGCUUACCAAGGCAACGAUGCAUAGCCGACCUGAGAGGGUGAUCGGCCACACUGGAACUGAGACACGGUCCAGACUCCUACGGGAGGCAGCAGUAGGGAAUCUUCCGCAAUGGGCGAAAGCCUGACGGAGCAACGCCGCGUGAGUGAUGAAGGUCUUCGGAUCGUAAAACUCUGUUAUUAGGGAAGAACAUAUGUGUAAGUAACUGUGCACAUCUUGACGGUACCUAAUCAGAAAGCCACGGCUAACUACGU
rnacentral:rRNA from 1 species